UCUUGGCAGCACCUCUAUUCUCUGGUGUUCUCUGGAACCCAGAGUGCUCUGCAUUUCUCUGCCUCUUUUGUCUCCUCACUGAUAGCCAGGGCUUCCCAGCUGUGAGCUUCCUCUGCUUUUUGGAAGACCUGAUGGAAGGAACUGGAAGAACCGAAUCAAAGAGCAUGCACUUCUGAAAUACUUCAUCUGGAUACACCAAAUACCAUCAAGCUAUCUUUGGGAAAUGAAAGGAAAGAAAAGCCAUAAAUGAAAAUGGAGACUACAUCACAGCUACUAACCUUAUGCAAACACAAUGAAGUUUGUCUUUCCUCUAAAUAUUUAUUUAAUUUGCUUUAAUUGAUUUAGAUGGCUUUCUUGAUGCUUAAACUUCUUAAGGCUUUCAGAUACUCUAGUGGCUAAAUAAAAUAGUAAAAAUAUGAUGAACACUUUAUAAAAAUCUAACAGUACUUGGUUACCUAUACGAAUGUUCGGUCUGUUGUUGUCAUGCAAGGUUAGAAGUUUAGCAUUUGUACUGGUGUGUGGGGUGGGGACAGCGUUCUAACACGACAUGUAAGUCCUGGAUGAACAAUCGCAUCUUUGGGUAACUUUGGACUCGUAGUUAGUCAGCUGUUUGUGGCUGUGAGAUGGACUACAGGGAUGUAAGUUUUUGGUGGAGUCUCUGUAAGCGACCAGGCCUGGCCUUGAACCUUUCAUCUUCCUGUGUCUGACUCAUCGCACGAGCCGGCAUGUUCCGGCUGCUUAAGCAGAUGGAGGUCUUACGUCAUCUUCCGUUGUGACAGUGGCCAGAGUCUUUAUCAGAGAGAAGAUCCAAAGAAAUGACAGGAAUCCGGAACUGCAAAGUGCAGAGUAAGAAAUGGGAGGAAGGCAUCACUGGAGAGCACAAGAGAUGGUCAACGCUGCCGGACCAGAUUCCAGGUUGGCGCUUCUGUCCCCUUAUUCCCAAGGUCACCUCUGUGCCACACUCUUAUGAGUAGCAUCACUGGAAAUGGAAUCCCAUCAAAACCAUGCAAUAUGGAUCACCUUAAAUGUAUUGAGAUAUGAUCAACAAUUAAGCAUGUGUAUAUUUAUGGUAUACAACUUGAUGACUUUCAUGUACAUACAUUAUGAAAUAUUUGCUAGAACUAAGCUACCAAUUAUAUAUAUCACAUCAUAAUUACUUCUAUGUAUAUAGUGAGAAUAGUUAAGAUACACUGUGUCGGGUUUUUGUUUUGUUUUGUUUUUAUUUUUCUUGUCAACUUGACAUUUUACUGUAGGCAAAUCUGUAGAGAAUUUUCUUGAUUAAUAGUUGAUGUUAUCUUAAUGACUGAGGUUCAGCAGUACAACCUUUGGGCAGGUAACCCCGAAUUGCAUAAGAAAAUAAACUGAGCAAACCAUGGAGAACAAGCCAGCGAGCAGCAUCCCUCCAUGGCUCUGCACAUCUUCCUGUUUCCUGGUUCUGCCUUAAGUUUUUGCCGUGGUUUCCCUCAGUGAAAGAAUCUGACCUGAGAGUUGUAAGUUGAAAUAAACCUUUUCUGUCCCAAGUUGGUUUUGGUCAUGGUAUUUUAUCAUAGCAAUAGAAAAACAACUAAGGCCAUGUCUGCAAACUUCAAAUAUAAGAUGCACUAUAAUUAAUGUAAUUACUUUGUUGUACUUAGAGCUCUAGAAUAGAUUCAUCUUGUAUAAUAGGAAAAUUUCCCCACUUGCCCCUCUUUCUAGCUCCUGGAAUCCAUCAUUCUGUACUGUGUUUCUUCAGGCAUGGAAUCUCCCCUCUAUAAACUAUAUAACACAAAGAAAUUCUUGUUUGUUCAUUUUAAAA
rnacentral:lncRNA from 1 species